rnacentral:misc_RNA from 1 species
AGGGAAACUUUACGCAUACUACAUGUUUGGAAAGCUGAAGCUAGCACAAUGAUGUAUCUACAAACCGAAAGUUGAUGUAUCUCUGCACCGUAUGAUACUGCGCUGUUUAUUUUUAACAUUUCAGGCAACGACGACCUGCGAUGGCAGUAACUCACUCGCCACACAGUAGCUUGAUGUAACAUCGGGAAAGAGAUUAUUAACUGGUUUGUCACUUCACUCCACAGUUUCCUCCUUCAGAAUAUCAGCUGCGUGCUUGCAAACAACUUUCUGUUUGGCGACCAAAGAAAGGUUGAGGUGGUUGUCCCAACCUGUCAGCGCUGACGUCUGCUCCGACAUAGGUGUUGGUGGAGGUCGAGACGACUGAGCAUUGAAUAUUGAAGAUAUGACAGCAGGACAAAGGUCGGUGGUGAUAUGUGUGUAAGAAUGUAGACGGUGUCGGCACAGUCGAUAUUCACCACCUCCAUAACUUUUGCCAGGUAACAACUACGCGCAGUAGCGGGAGAAUUGAUAGCUACCUGUGGACUCGGACGAUGAUAGACAAAUGAGCACAUAAAGGAUAAUAGAAGCUUUGCUGUGUUUCUGACCGUGCAGUGCGGACAUUAAGCAAGAAUUGUGAUGUUUUGUCAGAAAACUUGCAUCUGUGAUGAGUCUUCAGCAUCAGCGUUAACGUGACGAUUCACAGCUACCAUGCUUCCAUGUUGACUCCACGCUGACUUCUGCAGGUUGGUCAGGAACUCUUGGGUCAGACUGAUAUCAGCAAGAUUUCCCCAGCUACACAGACCACUGACCUCACCACACAGCAUGAACUUCUGCUGGUUUAGACCCGAUCUGUCUUGGCUUCGAGACUCAGGCCAGCAUGUCCGAGGCAGUUCAGUAGCGCUACAGUUUGAUCCUCUGCGGCAAGCAGCUAUGCGAUCUUCAAGCCAGAGCUCAGAUGGUGAAGUAGAUACAGCAGGUGGCUGCUUGACACACACAGCGCUGACAAGAGCCGACUCCAAUGGUGAUAUCGUCUGUGGUAGCCCCAUCCUCCCACUUUCACCUUCAUCUUCAGUGGGAUCACCCAUUCCUGACAGUGAAUAUGACUUCUACCUGGCUGUAGCUGAGGAUGACCUGGAAUCAUUUGGACUUCCCUUCGCUAAGUUGGUUGAGCAGCGAAUGAACAUGCGGCUUGCCUGACCAUCCGGGACAUCCCUCCUGGAGCUCCCAGAUUUGAGGCUAUGGCCGAUAUACUGGAGAGAAAGUGUAAUGGCAAGGUGGUGUUUGUGGUGUCACGGUCUUUCCACGCCUCACAGGAGUGUCAGUUUCUUGUUCAAUUUGCCAAAACGCUUGACCCAUAUGCAGUACAUCAGAAGUUGAUUCCCUUGAUUAUUGAUAGAGACGUUCAGAUUCCCAGAGUACUGGAGGGUCUGAGCGGCAUCUACUACAACCAGGCGCUGCGAGAAAACUGGUUGUGGAAAAAGUUGUGGGAGGCAGUACACCACCAUGGGGGUUCGCGAUCCUCACCAGCAGCAUGCAGUCCUGCCUCCCUCUUUUCAUUUAAAUGACACACCUCCCUAAGAAUGUGUUGGGAGCUUGUGAAUGUUCUCUUGGCCUCCAUCCGUCCAGUGUUUUGUAUCAUGCUGUGCUGGCAUUAUACUAGUCCUGACCUAGAGUGUUGGGAUAAGGCCGUGCAUACCCUGGCCUGCAAUAUUCACCAUCAGAUGUUUUUCUUUUUGGGCCAUGUUAUGUUGUGCGGCUCCAAGAGACAGACACAAAAGAUGUGACAGGCAUUUGCAGCAUACACAAGAUAUACAUAAACAUUGUGUUACAUUAUGGUUGUGCUACAAUUUGAAUGAUAUGCUUAUGUAAUGGAAUAUUUAAAUGACAAGUAUUAUUAUUCUUGAUCUGCAGCUAGUUAAAGUUUGUUGAUCCAGACAUGCAGCCUGUUAGGUGAAUGAGCAGGACGUGACUGGAACUGAGUCUUGGGCUCUUGGACUGAAAACGUAAAAUGGACAGAGAACAUGCAAAGAAUUUCCAGUUAUAAGUUUACAUGUGAUGUGACAUUUUUAUUGGGUCAUUUGAGGUUUUUCCUAUAAAGAUCCUACAGCUCAACUACAGAAUUUCCAUAGUUUCCUUCCAUGUUAAGAACUGUUCAUCAAAUAAGUUUAAGAUUUAAUAAACAGAAGAAUGAUUCCAUGUACUGAAAAUUACUUCAGUAAGA